AUGUCGUCUAACUCCUCCUCGGCGGCUCCGCCGCCGCCCUCCAAGAGCAGCCCUCCUCCAUCGGCUGCCCAGCCGCCGUCACCGGGUUCGUCGCCGUCCACCUCCAAUUCGUCCUCGCCGGCGCCAUCCAGCUCCAACGACCCCUCGCCUCCGCCUGCGCCGCCCAAGUCCCGUGGCGCUCCGGUGCCACCGGGCAGGAACCCCUCUCCGCCAGCCCAACCCUCCAGAGGGUCCGAUGAGUCGAGCAGGUCAUCCUCACAGGCUUCGCACCGUGUCAGCUCCAACACCACGGCCGAGAUCAUUUUCGCCGCCGCCGGGGCCGCGAUGCUCCUCGCGCUCCUCAUCGCGGCCUGCGUCUGCUGCUCAAGGAGGACCGCGCCGAGGAGGCGGCGGAAGCCUCACAAUCCCAUGCAUUUCUACGCGGAUACCUCCGGCAACAAAGGUAAAACUGCAACGCUCUCACGGUCACCGUCGAUCGCCCUUGCAUGCCCCGUGGUGCUGUUCCUCUUGCUCUUGAUUUGCGUACGUGUAGUUAACCACCAUUGUCAUGGCGUGGCAACCACAGCCAGCAGCACGUACUACACCGGCGGGCCGCAGCCGCAGUGGCAGAGCGGCACCGGCGCUGGGCCGUCGACGAGCACGUUCGACCCACCGGGGGGCCCCUGGCACAACUCUGGCGUCCACUCCAGCCCGCGCGACCAGCCGACGUCACCGCCCGCACCGCACGAGACGCUGGGGCUCGGCAGGGGCACGUUCACCUACGAGGAGCUCGCGGCGGCGACGGGCGGCUUCUCGCAGGCGAACCUGCUCGGGCAGGGCGGGUUCGGGUACGUGCACAAGGGGGUGCUCCCCAGCGGCAGGGCGGUGGCCGUGAAGCAGCUCAAGUCCGGGAGCGGGCAGGGGGAGCGCGAGUUCCAGGCCGAGGUGGACAUCAUCGGCCGGGUGCACCACCGCCACCUCGUGUCCCUCGUCGGCCACUGCAUCGCCGGCACCAGCCGCAUGCUCGUCUACGAGUUCGUCCCCAACAAGACGCUCGAGUUCCACCUCCAUGGGGAAGGGUCGCCGGCGAUGGCAUGGGCGACGAGGCUGCGCAUCGCGCUCGGGGCGGCGAAGGGGCUCGCCUACCUGCACGAAGACUGCCAUCCACGGAUCAUCCACCGCGACAUCAAGUCCGCCAACAUCCUCCUGGACAACAACUUCGAAGCCAUGGUGGCGGACUUCGGGCUGGCCAAGCUGACGUACGACGGCAUCACGCACGUCUCGACGCGGGUCAUGGGGACGUUCGGGUACCUGGCGCCGGAGUACGCGUCGAGCGGGAAGCUGACGGAGAAGUCGGACGUCUACUCCUACGGCGUGAUGCUGAUGGAGCUCCUGACGGGGCGGCGGCCCAUCGACGCCACCGCGCACUUGGUCCUGGAGGACGGCCUCGUCGAGUGGGCGAGGCCGGCCCUGUCGCGCGCGCUCGCCGACGGCGACUACGACGCCGUCGCCGACCCGAGGCUGCAGGGCAGCUACGACCCGGUGGAGAUGGCGCGCGUGGUGGCCAGCGCCGCCGCCUGCGUCCGCCACUCGGCCAAGAAGCGCCCGAAGAUGAGCCAGAUCGUGAGGGCGCUGGAGGGCGACAUGUCGCUGGAGGACCUGAACGACGGGGUGCGGCCGGGGCAGAGCAGGCUGUUCGGGGAGGAGGCGGGGUCGUACAGUUCCGACAUGAACCGGGCCAAAGAGGUGGCCGUGGCGAGCCCCGAGUAUAGCGGCAGGUCCGGACGGCCCUCGCCGGUCAGCAGCGACAGGCCAAUCUCCGACGAGAUGAGUCCGGCGGAGAGACAGCCGCCGCACCUCUGA
rnacentral:rRNA from 1 species